ACAAAAAAGCUUCAAAGAGUUUAGCGAGAACUUUUUUUUUUUUUUUUUCUAUUUACACAAUGGAGAGAAAAAAACUGGGGAUGGAUACAGUUGAACACACUGCCUCUACAAUCCUGGUCGUACAAAUAGUGACUAAGAAUUAAAAAGAAAGGACUCUUUCUAUUCCAUACUGGAGCUUUGGUUGUUUACAAACCACAUGGAUAUCUGUGGGUGCAGUUUUUUUUGUUGGUUUUAAUUUUGUUCUUUUUGUUCCCACAUAAGACGGGUGGGGUUUGCAAGUGCGCUUCUGCCAUAUGGACAUUGAGUGGUGUUGGGGUUUUUUUUUAAGGAAGAGUGGCAGGUAUCACAAGAACAUGAACAAGAUCCUCUAACCGGACCUUUGUAUGUGUGAUCGUGGAUUCUGAGACUUAAUCAACCACGGAGCGGAGGCGGGAAAAUCAAGGAUGUGCUCUGUUUUGUGGAGAACGGAGUGCAUAACCCUAGAGGGAACUGAGAGGGCGAAAUAGUACACCUGGUUAGUGCACCUGUCUUCACCUCAACCCCUCAUAAGCACUCACGCCCUGCCCCUCACCAACUCACCUAUGCACUUUUGUUCAUUCAAGCUGUGAGGUACCAUUUUGGGGAUGGGAGCACAAUUACAACAGGAGGAUUGCUACGACUUUGACAAAGUCACUGAAAAGAUAUUCCCAAACUGAAAAUAAGCGACUCGAGGAGUACGUCUUCUCCCACCUCCUGUGUAUAUAACCAUAUUUUUGUAUUAUCUUUCAGAGUAGAAAGAAAAAUUUGCAAAUGGAUGAAGGAAAAUUCAUGAGACGUUGAUAAUAUGGAGGGAAAACGUUCUUCAAGAAAACCAAUCUUUUGAAUAUAGUUUGCGAUUGACUCGCUGAGAGUUUCCCUUAUUUUGCCAGUAACCCUGAAAUAAUCGGGGAUGGAAGAGAGAGAAAAAAAAAAAAAAAAAAAACCAUGGACUGAGGUGUUGGACAUGCUGCAGUGGCUCCAAGACUGACUGAUAGUUACUUAUCAAAAUGGAUGCUGCAGUCGCUACAAAGAGCCCACGCCAAGAGUGUUAGAUCAACAUGCACAGUAAAGAGGCAGCCAUGGGUUUGAAGAGCUGCUGGCGAGGAUGCUUCUACUUUGUGCCCCAACCCGAUGACUGCCUUGAGAGCUGUAGAGUGACUGAAGGAAGAAAAAUCUUUGGCAAUGGAGUCUGGCUGUGCUUUAUUUGCUGCCCUCUGCAUGGAGGAUCUAAUCUACAAGCCAACCCAUGAACCAGUUAUCCCUAAACCUGUCCCUUUUUUGAACUUAAAUCCUAAGAAACUUUUCAGUCUUGACCUCGGACUGGGAACGCCAUUGGCAUUAUCAGUUGAACAGUUACCGGAUGAAGUUGCAGGUUUCUCGACCAUGGAGCCCAUCUGUGUUGGAAGCGUAAGGUUUGGGAUUUGAUCGGGCGCUCUCCGGCGAGCGAGAUAAAAAGAGGCACGUAUUGCCCAGAUGUCAUCACCCACCUCGGCCUGAAACACUCAGGUGGUUGCGUGGAGGUCUUCUAACCAGCGGGACAGAAGACCUGCCCAGACGUCAGGGACCGAGAGCCGUGUUGGGUUUCGAUGGACGUGGCUGGAUUACACCUAAGUCCCCAGAAAUCCCUGCCGAUGUGGAACUGGAUGAACUGAAAUAAUUGUACAAAACAAAGACUUUUGAAACAUCGACAAAACACGAAUACGUAGCUACAUGUCACAUAGAUUCUAGAGUUGCAGACACACUACAUGCACACCUACAGCAAAAGCAACAGACAGUUACAGUGGCUCUCCUCUGGAACCACGUCUUCACACAUAACGGGGCUACAUACAAUAUCAAAUCCUACACAUUACAGACACACACACGCACGCACACACAAGCAUCAUCGCUCACCAAUAUAAACGCUGAGCUUUGUAAAUGUAAAAGUUUGUGUUUUGAUUUUUCUCUUAGUGGUUUUGAUUUAUUUCUCUGUUCAACAUGCCUUAAAUUGUAUAGUUCGGUCUUGAACGGCUAACUGAAAAUGUUUAAGUUGGAAACCACCUCCUUAACUGUCCUCUAAAGUCAAAGAAAGAAAUUAGCUUUCUACAAGACUGUUUACUGUUGGCAGUCUGUUCUGUAUUAACUUGAUACGUGUACAUCUGAUCACCAUGAACGUUACUAUUUUGCUACAGAAUAGAGCAGCAACAGUCUUUUGAUUAAUCAGAUUUUGCUGGUGGUUAGCUUUUGUUGCCCUUUUGGUUUCCUUAAAAUGAAGAGUGGAUGUGUUCAGAUUUCCUGUUUAGAUUAUUGCUGAAGGUGCAGGCUUAAAGGGCUGAAGUCUGUACUGUCUGGAGCUGAGCUGACAGGGUGGGACGCACAGAAUUGGCUUAAAGCACAGACUUGUUGCUGUGUGCUAACUAUUGUUGGAUAUACUGCUCUAGGCAAAACUGAACCAGAGUGGCGGGUCCUCGUUAAAGAGAUACAAGUUGGGGCUUUUUGGUCAAAGUUUUUACACUCCGGUGGACUUAAAUGUUUUGGAUCAACUAGGUACUUUUUAUAGUUUAAGAUGUUAAAUCAGGCUUGUAAGAGGCAAGAUUGUAAGAGCAAGCUUGCAUGAUUUGUAAUAUUUGUGGGUUUUGACACUAAACCUUAAGGCGGGUCACAGCUUGGCCCAGAUUGCUUUAGCUCUGUCUGUGCACCAGGUAGUACUGCUGACCAUUUCUGAUGGCGCUGAGUAGAUAUUGUCUGAUCAGUUGCGGUGUUAUCUGAAAGGAAAUUCUAUGUUCAGGAAAUUUGAAACUUGUUCCAUGUAUGUAUAUUGAUUGGAUUGGAAAGAUUCAUGCUUUUAGUCAACCAGUAGUUAUCUUUGUAUCCUCGAUAACUAAACAAUGAUGUUUUUAAACCAAAUGGCAACUGAUAUUCUGUGAAUACCUUCAACUUAGACUUGUGGUUUUGGUGGAUAGUUACCUGCUAUAGCUAACUGUGUAAGCUGCCGUAGGCACCGUAGGCUCCAGUAUGUCUUAACUGUUGAAUUGAUACUAAAUGGUUAAGCUUAUUGUUAUCAGUUGCCAAAUCAAAGAAAUUGACUUUAACCAUAUGAUGAUACUAUCAAGUCUCUUAUUUGUGAAUGACUUUAGAAAUACCUGUGUUUGACAUUUUUAAAAGCGGAUAUUGUGCAGUAUUAGUUGUUGGUCAGUCAGUCUGUCUACAAAAAGUCAAACAAGGUUGUUUGCGCUAUGCAAGCUUUUAUGAUUAGAUAAACUGCGAUGUUGUGUUGUCAAAAAGCCCUGGAUGUUUGGUUGCAUCCUUUGAAAAGAUCCUGUCACGCUCUGCCCACUUAACUGUAUGGAGUUGAUCAUCUGGUUUAUUUGAGCUCUGGUAACUAUAGUUUCAACAAUAUUGGCCUAAAAGAUAUAAUGAAAGUUUUUUUUUUUUUUUUCCCCCCCAGUCAGCUCAGCUCCUUUGCUUAAUAAGUCUUUGAAUGUUGUUAAAAUAGCAGCAUACAUGUACAAGUUUUGGAAAAGAACAACUGCAAGAUGUGUAAAUAGUUUGGCUUUGAAGAACAAAAUAAAUACUAAAUAAAGG